rnacentral:rRNA from 1 species
GGCAGCCGCCGCGGUAACACCGGCGGCCCGAGUGGUGAUCGUGAUUAUUGGGUCUAAAGGGUCCGUAGCCGGUUUGGUCAGUCCUCCGGGAAAUCUGAUAGCUCAACUAUUAGGCUUUCGGGGGAUACUGCCAGACUUGGAACCGGGAGAGGUAAGAGGUACUACAGGGGUAGGAGUGAAAUCUUGUAAUCCCUGUGGGACCACCUGUGGCGAAGGCGUCUUACCAGAACGGGUUCGACGGUGAGGGACGAAAGCUGGGGGCACGAACCGGAUUAGAUACCCGGGUAGUCCCAGCCGUAAACGAUGCUCGCUAGGUGUCAGGCAUGGCGCGACCGUGUCUGGUGCCGCAGGGAAGCCGUGAAGCGAGCCACCUGGGAAGUACGGCCGCAAGGCUGAAACUUAAAGGAAUUGGGCGGGGGAGCACAACAACGGGUGGAGCCCUGCGGUUUAAUUGGACUCAACGCCGGACAACUCACCGGGGGCGACAGCAAUAUGUAGGCCAAGCUGAAGACUUUGCCUGAAUCGCUGAGAAGUGGUGCAUGG